UUUGCUUUAAUGUUGCUUUGUAAUAAUUUGAGGAAUAACUAGCUAUAUUAGUUUUCUAUUGCUCUUGUAACAAAUUACACUAAUUUAUUCUUUCACAGUUCUAGAAGCCAGAAGUCCGAAAUCAAGGUGUUGGAAAGGCCACGCUCCCUGUGGAGCUUGAGAAGAAAAUCUUUUUCCUCACCCUCUCCAAGACUCCAGAGCGGCAAGCCUUGCCUUCCCUAGCCCUUGGCCUCUUCCUCCAUCUUCAAAGUCGGCAGUUCAACAUCUUCACAUCUCCCUUUGCUUUCAUCCUUAUAUCACCUUCUCUUCCAUAGUCUCACCUCCCUCUGUUUCCCUCUAGUAAGGACUUAUGAUUACAUCCUUGAGCUCACUUGAGUAAUCCAGAAUACUCUUCCUAUCCCCAGACCUCUAAUCCAAUCACAUCUGCAGAGUCCCUUUUGCCAUCUAAGGUAACAUAUUCACAGGGUCAGGGGAUUAGGAUGCAGAUUUAGGGAGAUUAUUUAGUUUAUCACGCUAUCUUGGGUUCUAUUCUGCCUGGUCCUAAGGCCAGGAUUCUUCAAGUAACUUCUGUGUUCAGCUAGCUCAACUGAGGCAAAGUAAUAAAAACCCUUAGUUUCCUCAUCCUAUACAGUAUAGAAUAAACUUCCUACUUAGAGCAAGUGACAAUUAAAUCAUCAAUUAAACUUAGCUAAAGCCAAAUUCAGACUGCCUAAAAAGAAUAGUGCAUCUGGUCAUUGAGAUGGAGCUGCUCAUUUUUCAGUAGUAGUUCAUCCUCCUUAAGAAUAUGAUUGUCAUCAUUUGUUUGCCAACUUCAAUAAAAAAUUCAUCUAGAAUGGCUGCUUCAGGGGAUGCUGGGCAAAUACUGCUUUUUGUUUCAAUUUGAACACAAACACAAUUCACUGGCAUCCUAUCAUAGCUUUAACUAUCAUUUUAAAUGUAUUCUUACCUAACCUAACACAAUUUCAUUUUAUUAGUAGCAUAAAAACAACUCACACCAUAAUUUUUCUACUGACAAUGUGGCCACUUGAAGGCAUCAUAAACUCCUAAGCACAGAUUUAUAAUUCAUACAUUAUUUAAAAAGAAGAGACUCUUAAUACAUUUUAUCUUCAAAAGAAAGUAAUAUAUUUCAAUUGAGAGUAGAGAGAACAAUUCAAGCAUGUAUGCAGAAGUAUUCUUACCAUAUAACUAGAUUAUAAUAUUUACAUGUAUGAAAUCUCAUUGACUCAGAAAAUAAGUAAUAAUCUCUGCUAAAGGGAAUAUUUCAUAAGGUAAAUCAGAUAAAGAAAACAAAGCAUUAAAUGCAAAUACUUGUGAGAAUGAUAGGAGUCAGAUGUGCAUUAAAACAUCUUUUUAUAGAAUAAGAUAAACUUAAGAACAUAAUCUAAAGUAACCACAUUCAAAAGCAACAGUGUAUAAAUUAACUGUUUUCAUUUUAUGGUAGCUCUUAGACUGCUUAUUUUUCAGGUUAUAAAAAUAAAUAAUAAAUGGUUCUAGUGGUUUUAGGAGUAUGUAAUUUGAGAAAGUUAAUAUCCAAAGUCAAAAUACUGUUAACCAAAGGUCUGAACUGAUAAAUGAAUUAAUAGCAGUUACUAUACAAUGCAUUUAGCAUUUUAUUUUAUUUUAUUUUUGUCUCUUUGCCUUUUCUAGGGCCGCUUCCACGGCAUAUGGAGAUUCCCAGGCUAGGGGUCUAAUUGGAGCCAUAGCCACUGGCCUACGCCAGAGCCACAGCAACUCGGGAUCCUACUCGUGUCUGCAAUCUACAUCACAGCUCACAGCAACACAGGAUCCUUAACCCACUGAGCAAGGUGGGAUCGAACCCGCAACCUCAUGGUUCCUAGUCAGAUUCGUUAACUACUGUGCCACAACGGGAACUCCGCAUUUAGUAUUUUAAAAGCAGAUCUUGAAGUUUCCUUUUUAUAACCUUUAUCCCAUUCCUUACCUAAAUCUCACUAAAAUGAAAAUAAAGGAAUCAAGUUUAAACAUAGAUGUGCAUAGAUGACAGGAGAUGGGACGUCAGCAGACAAGAGGUGACAGCCAAAUUUUGGAAAAAAGAAAGUGGACCUAAGUGAGGUUACUGAGUUAGCCAAAGGGAGAUUUUGCUGACUUGGGAGGGGAAGUGAAUUUACCAGCAGGAUGGAAACAAGCUCAGAUGCACAGUCCCUGCUAAACUUAGGAAUUAAUGGUCAGGGACCUUGGAAGUCCAGGAUUCAGAGAAGGACAGAAAGCAGGAUUAUUUUCUUAAGUUCAUAUAAGCACUUGCAGAUACUCAGACCCCAUGGUCCACUCAGACUGCCAAUCCAUUACUCUUUCCACACCUCAUAGACAACAGGAAGUUUACUUCCUGGAAGGAUUCACAAACUGAGGGUGGGGGUGAAGUGCUACACUGAAAACAAGGGUUAAAUAUACUUGUCUAUAUUAAAUGAAAGCAAAGAAUUCUUUUCCAGGGAAACUAAGUGGCCCAAGCAAAGACCUGGAGAUUCUGACUGACAUUUGGAUGCCCUCAAAAAAAAAAAAAAAUAAUCUGGUCCUUGCCCAUUUACCCAAAGAUGCCCCCCACCCCGUCACAUACACACACACAAACACACACACACACACACACAUACACACACACUCUCUCUCUCUCUCUCUUUUCUCAUCAAUCUUUUCUGUACUGUUUGGUACUGAGGUCUGGAUCCAAAACAAAAUGAAACAAAACAAAAACUUGUAAAAAAGAGUGCAAGAAGAAGAAACUAAAUAAGUGUAUGAGUGUGUGAUAUAUUUGUGUUUGAGUAUCUUUAGACAUAAAAGAAGAGAUAUUGCAGAUACUGCACCUAUAUAAUUUGAUCAGGAAACUAUAAAUAGGAGCAUUUAGAAAACAAGAAAGAAUGCUUAGAAAUUAAAACGAUUGUCAAAAACAUUCCAAUACAAGCAUAUAAAGAUCGAAGAAAUCUCUCAGAAUGUAAAAAUAAAACAAACUGAUGGAAAAUAGGAGACCAAAAACUAAAUAAAAUAGAGAAUCAAUCCAGGAAAUCCACAUCUGAUUAAUUAGUGUCCCAGAAAGAGAAAACAGAGAAUCAGAAAUGAUCCAAUAAAAUAGAGCACAAUUAUCUCAUACUGAAGGCAUGCAUUUCUGGAUUAAAAGAAUCAGCCAAACGGAGAGAGCACAAAUGAAUGGAAAAGGCUUACAUCAAGAUAGAAUAUUGUAAAUUUCAGAACAUCAGGUUAAAAAAAAAUGGAAAAUCUUUUAAAAAUAACCAGUCACAUACAAUAGAGGCUAUCAUGGUUCUCAAACUGGUAGGUAGACAAGACUAGAAUGAGACAUUGCCUUUAAAAUUCUGAAGGGCAAUUUUGUUCAACCCAGAAUCUUAAAACUAGCCAUAUGAUCAAUUCCAUGUGGAGGUAUAAAAAGACUAUUUGUGACAAUGAAAAUUUUGAGGAAUUUAUCCUUCAACCAGUCUUUCUCAAGAAGCUACUGAAAAGUGUUCUCCAUAAGAUAUGGCCAAAGUUACUCAGAAAACAGGGGACCAAUAUGAGGGUGAGGCAGAGGAAGUUCCCAGAGCAAUGAAGAAGAGAAAUACCAAGCAACAACUGUGCUACAAAAAUAAGAGAAACCAACCCCACUGCAGCAGUUGACUUGAUGACCCUAAAAGAGCUGUCUAUCAAGAAAAAAGAGGACUAUUACAUUCCUUUCCGUGUUUAGCUUUAUUGAAGAGAGCCUAUAUUUUUUCUUAGAAAGUUUGUAUUGAAAUAGUUUUACUUACAGAGAAAAAUAAACAAAUGAGAUAAAUUGAGGAAUUUCUGGCUCUUCCAAAAAAGUCAGAAAAGAAAAAAAUGCAACCAUUAUAUCACACCAAAUGGCUUGUCUAUGAUCCAUAUUUAUACAGUUACAUAAAUACUGAAUAUUGAUUGAAUAAAAACACAUGGCUUAAGUUUUUGGAGAAUGGAGGAGAGAGAAAAAUGUAUAUUGCAAGGAAUGGGGAUAGACCCAAAGUAAGAAAGCUCAAUCAUCAUUUUCUGUGGUAGGAAGACAAUUGAAAUAGAAAUAUCAGACAACAGCAAUCUGGUCAUUUUAUUUAAAAAUAUAAAAUUACAUAUGAGAAGAAAUAGCUAUGAAGGAGUUGAAAUUUGGUCCAGUUUAGGGUGUACAGACCGAGGAAUGAGAGUGGUGGCUCAGUAGAGAGCUUUUGUUCAAAAAAAUAAAAAAUUGGUCUAUUAUUCUUUGAUUUUUAAAACUAUGAACAUGUGCAACUUUCACAAAAUACAAACACAUUUUUAUGGAAAGCUAACAUCUAGUAAAAUUCUAUAAUCUACUAAUGGCCAGCUCUUUUCAAUGGAAUAAUCCAAACAUGUUUUGACAUUGCAUACCAAAUGUCACUUGAUUCAUUUGUUUUCUGGCAUUCCUAUGACUGCAAUUGCAAUUUGCAGAGGCUUCAAGAUGGCUUUAAGAUAAUUUCAAAGCUUUCAGCAUAAAUUGACCCUCUUAAACAAUUGCGCAUAAAUUUUCUCAGGCUCAAGCUGACCAAAUGGCAAUCAAAAUGAAACACAAACAGGAUGUUAAUAUUGCCUUAUUGUUCAGUGAGCGUGAGUGAAAACAAAGCAAACUACAACCACUGCUCAUACUCUUGGAGGGAACAGUUUCCCAUUGGGAUAAUUAUGUGUUUUCAAAAUGUAUGAAUUCAAACGAAGAAACAAAUGUGUAUGUUUGUUAUGCGCCAGGCACUGUGCUGGAUAAACAGGAAAAAGAAAGAUGCAUAAGAUGUAGACACUUCAUUUGAGGAGUUUGUAAUCAAGGAAACUAAAACACUAGAAGCUCUCUUAACUGAGUUCUAUUUAAGUGACUUGCCAGACUAACCCUCACUAGCCAUUUUCUCCUUGAAACACAAGGAAUGCUGUUCAUAGCAUGUGAUACCCUCAAGCUAGUGACUAUUCUUUCACCAUUAGCUU
rnacentral:lncRNA from 1 species